UUUAACUUGGCAGAACAAAAUGCAUUUGAUUUAGAAUCAUUAUAUAAUAUAUAAUAUUAGUUGGUA
rnacentral:tRNA from 2 species